rnacentral:rRNA from 1 species
UGCGUAGGCGGAUUUAUAAGUCAGUGGUGAAAUCCUACAGUUUAACUGUAGAACUGCCAUUGAUACUGUAGAUCUUGAGUACGGUUGAGGUGGGCGGAAUGUGUCAUGUAGCGGUGAAAUGCUUAGAUAUGACACAGAACACCAAUUGCGAAGGCAGCUCGCUAAACCGUAACUGACGCUGAGGCACGAAAGCGUGGGGAGCGAACAGGAUUAGAUACCCUGGUAGUCC